rnacentral:lncRNA from 1 species
CGAGUUCUGUACUGUGAGAUAAUUAUUUUUUAGUGAAGAGAGGUCAGAACUGUCAGAAAGUGAAAUAGGGGAAAUUUUAAUGAAUAAACUGUACUAAUUGGAUAAACCAAAAAUUAUGAAAAUUUUAUGGUGGAACGAUAUGUGAGUCUAGUUUCAGGGGAAAUUUACGGAUCUUAAUUUGGAGCUCUGUAGCUCGAAUUAUAAAUAAUUAAGUGACUAUGACUUGUGUGG